GACAGAGGUGCCAAGCGUUAGGCGGAAUCACUGGGCUUAAAGCGUGUGUAGGCGGAUUGGUAAGUACCUUGUGAAAUCCCAUGGCUCAACCAUGGAACUGCUUGGUAUACUGCCUGUCUUGAGCUACUUAGGGGCAACCGGAACAAAUGGUGGAGCGGUGAAAUGCGUAGAUAUCUGGAGGAACACCGGUGGCGAAGGCGGCGUUCUGGACUGCAACUGACACUGAGGAACGAAAGCCAGGGGAGCAAACGGG
rnacentral:rRNA from 1 species